UUCAUUGCUUAGUUGGUAAAGCACAAAGCUCUUAACCUUGUGGACGUAGGUUCAUGCCCUACGAUGGAA
rnacentral:tRNA from 1 species